CCUACGGGAGGCAGCAGUGAGGAAUAUUGGUCAAUGGACGAGAGUCUGAACCAGCCAAGUAGCGUGAAGGAUGACUGCCCUAUGGGUUUUAAACUUCUUUUAUAUGGGAAUAAAACAGUGUACGUCUCCUCUCUUGUAUGUACCAUAUGAAUACGGAUCGGCUAACUCCGUGCCAGCAGCCGCGGUACUACGGAGGAUCCGAGCGUUAUCCGGAUUGAUUGGGUUUAAAGGGAGCGUAGGUGGAUUGUUAAGUCAGUUGUGAACGUUUGCGGCUCAACCGUAAAAUUGCAGUUGACACUGGCAGUCUAGAGUACAGUAGAGGUGAGCGGAAUUCGUGGUGUAGCGGUGAAAUGCUUAGAUAUCACGAAGAACUCCGAGUGCGAAGGCAGCUCACUGGACUGCAACUGACGCUGAUGCUCGAAAGUGUGGGGAGCAAACAGGAUUAGAUACCCGUGUAGUC
rnacentral:rRNA from 1 species